rnacentral:lncRNA from 1 species
GUUAAAUGGCCAGCAGGAAUUAUCCACUAGAGAAGCGGAAGGGAGAGAAUGGAAAUGGCCGCAUGCAGCUCCUCUCCCUCAGACAGCUCGGGGCUCAGCGGAAUGAGCACAGUCUGCAGGACAAGUGCGGAGGACUUCAGUCCCCUCUACUGUAUAUUGGCUUUAGGACUCAAGUUGUCCCUGAAAUAGAGGAAGGUGUUUUCUAGGGUAGUGGUAAUUAUCACAGUCAAAAAAGUAGGCGAGAGCACUUAGGAAAACUGUGCGGAGAUCGGCUGCUGAUGUGUAAAUACUGCUGAAGCUGCUUAUUCAAGAUUAGAAAACCUGAGACCCAGACGGGGGAAACUGCUUUCCAUGGUUAAUCGUCAACAACUGGCCAGGAUGGGACAGAAGCCCAUACAUAGCCUUCAUUCCAGGGCUCAGAACAAAAAGAAGGCAGUGGCCUGGGCUGCACCUGAGCUUGGCUUCACAUAGGAGGGAUUCUGGAACGCAGGAUCCUGACAACGACCUCAAGCCCCUGUAAAGCAACACAUUUUUUGGCAAGAAUCCCUGGGACAGAGAAAGAAUUUCUUCUCACUUAUUAUUGAGAAUGUUCUCAUGUCUUGCAAGGCUCACUGCCCAGUAGAAGCUGAAAAGAUUCAGUAUGAGUAAAAGAAGAGAUCUGAAAUUUGCAGCUUGUCAUAGAAAGAACUGAGACUACCAUACACCUAAGAAGUCAAAGUUGCUAUUCAAGGGGAAGUGCAAACACAAGAUGAGGGAAACUGAUGUAUUUAGUGUCUACAUUUUACAAAUGGAUGCUUUUCAUAAUAUGAAAAUACUGCACCAUAAGAUUGCCAGUCACAACAGCACGGCUACAGUGAAAAUUGUCAGUCUUUUUUUUUUCCAGGAUCCCAGUGGAUUUGUUACGGUGAGAAAGCUUCACUUGGAGACAAAGCCAAAACCUUCCUCCCAGGCUCCCUUGGAUGUAGGGGGAAGCAAACUGGCUGUCCAGGCCUCUGAGCCACAUCUACACACCUCAUGAGAGGGCCUGUGCAACAUUGCCUUAGAGAUGGAGAGCAUUGCUUCAGAAUCAGGGAAGCCUAAAUUUCACCCCUGGGGCUGCCCCUUGUGAUCUUGAAUGGCUCCUGACAAGAGGCUGCUGGGGAGGCUCCUGCUCCCUGCCUUUCGGGACUGCCGUGGAUUGCCCAUUGAUGGGUCAAAAUCCAGCUACCUGGUAAUUCAAUGAGUCCCUAGUGUGCAUCCAAUAAAUUAUCUUCUGUUUAAAUUAGAACAAACUGUUUUUAAUCUGUGUGCUAAGAAUCUCAUUAAAUGCAUCAUAAAUUUCAAAAUCAUGGCUCCUGACAAGAGGCUGCUGGGGAGGCUCCUGCUCCCUGCCUUUCGGGACUGCCGUGGAUUGCCCAUUGAUGGGUCAAAAUCCAGCUACCUGGUAAUUCAAUGAGUCCCUAGUGUGCAUCCAAUAAAUUAUCUUCUGUUUAAAUUAGAACAAACUGUUUUUAAUCUGUGUGCUAAGAAUCUCAUUAAAUGCAUCAUAAAUUUCAAAAUCAAAAACUAAAUAAAACA